rnacentral:sRNA from 1 species
GCCAGGCGCAGUGGUGCACACCUGUAAUCCCAGUGGCUCAGGAGGCUGAGGCAGGAGGAUCAUGAGUUCAAAGCCAGCCUCAGCAGAAUCGAGGCACUAAGAAACUCAGUGAGACCCUAUCUCUA